UUCAUAUUCCAGGACCUAUUAGGAUACAAAGUUGAUGCUCCAACCAUUAUUUCACUUUCUAAUAUUUUCUUUGCAUCUCUGUUGUCACUUGGUCUAGCCAGUACUUCACUGUGUUUACGUCAAUAGGUCUUUCAGUGAUUGAACAAUUCUUGGUUAAACCCAUAUAUUCAUUUGGCCAUUAUAUCUAUUUGCCUAAAGAUGGUAUGUAUUUGAGUUUAAAGAGCCAGUACAAUAACAAAGUUAUCUCAGUUCUCGAAAGUUAAAUGGACCUUGAACCAUUUGAUCCUAUUUCCGUGGACAAAUUUAUGUUGUGGAACUUGAUGGGGUCAAAUCCAUGUGCCUCCAAAUCAUAAAGAAGAUGGAGUUUAAUAUAAGAAUGGGCAUACAUCUUGAUGUUCGCGUAGAUAAAUGUUGAACUUUUUGAAUUUUUUUACCAUUAUGCAAGUUGGGGAUCUUUCCGUUUGUUCACCGAAACCUGCUCUUCUAGCUAUAUUCUACCUUUUUUCUUAUCGUACCUAUAUUCUCUCUUGUUUUGU